CUUAGCGGCGGACGGGUGAGUAACGCGUGGGUAACCUGCCUUACACUGGGGGAUAACAGUUAGAAAUGACUGCUAAUACCGCAUAAGCGCACAGGGCCGCAUGGUCUGGUGUGAAAAACUCCGGUGGUGUAAGAUGGACCCGCGUCUGAUUAGGUAGUUGGUGGGGUAACGGCCCACCAAGCCGACGAUCAGUAGCCGACCUGAGAGGGUGACCGGCCACAUUGGGACUGAGACACGGCCCAA
rnacentral:rRNA from 1 species